UACGGGGGGGGCAAGCGUUGUUCGGAAUUACUGGGCGUAAAGGGCUUGUAGGCGGCCAACUAAGUCCGACGUGAAAUCCCCAGGCUUAACCUGGGAACUGCGUCGGAUACUGGAUGGCUUGAAUCCGGGAGAGGGAUGUGGAAUUCCAGGUGUAGCGGUGAAAUGCGUAGAUAUCGUAAGGAAGACCAGUGGCGAAGGCGGGUCUCUGGACAGUUCCUGACGCUGAGGCACGAAGGCCAGGGGAGCAAACGGG
rnacentral:rRNA from 1 species